UACAGAGGGGGCAAGCGUUGUCCGGAAUUAUUGGGCGUAAAGAGCUCGUAGGCGGUUUGUCGCGUCUGCUGUGAAAACGCGAGGCUCAACCUCGCGCCUGCAGUGGGUACGGGCAGACUAGAGUGCGGUAGGGGAGAUUGGAAUUCCUGGUGUAGCGGUGGAAUGCGCAGAUAUCAGGAGGAACACCGAUGGCGAAGGCAGAUCUCUGGGCCGUAACUGACGCUGAGGAGCGAAAGCGUGGGGAGCGAACAGG
rnacentral:rRNA from 1 species